rnacentral:rRNA from 1 species
CAGCAGCCGCGGUAAUACGAAGGGGGCUAGCGUUGCUCGGAAUGACUGGGCGUAAAGGGCGCGUAGGCGGCGGCCAAAGCCAGGCGUGAAAUACCUGGGCUCAACCUGGGGACUGCAUUUGAUACGUAUGGACUUGAGUGGAGAAGAGGGUCGUGGAAUUUCCAGUGUAGAGGUGAAAUUCGUAGAUAUUGGAAAGAACACCGGUGGCGAGGGCGGCGACCUGGUCUUUAACUGACGCUGAGGCGCGAAAGCGUGGGGAGCAAACAGGAUUAGAUACCCGGGUAGUCCCUGUCUCUUAUAC